rnacentral:lncRNA from 12 species
AUGGUCGGGGGGCUGGUGGCGACCCCAGGGCAGGGCUUCUCCACACCGGCCACGGGCUUAGCCUCCUUGAAAAGGCCAGGAGGUGAGUGUAGAGGAGGAGAGGUCAGGGGUAUGCACCCCACCUGCCCUCGUAAGGUCCCCACACAGAGCUCAGGGCAGGUCCCCAAAACCCCCGAGACCAACCCUCCUCUUGCUACAACACCCCAGGCGGGGACUCACGUGAACUCGGCCUCCCAAGCUCCUGCCCAACAGCCCUUGCACACAGAGCUGCAAAAACUUCAAGAAGCUUCCAAGGCUGAACAAAGGACCCUCCCCCUCCCCCAGACACCGCAGGAGGCGGGCAGCGGGGUCAGAGGGCGAGCUGCCUCCUCCCGCCUCCCCCUGCAGCCCCAGGAGUCUAGCCCACGGCCACAGGUCUCUCAGAAGUGCCUGCUGUGGGGCAGAGGGUGCGGGAGAGGGCGAGCCCGAGGCUGGCUUGCCCCACGGCGUGCUGGCACCCUGCCCAGUCCGGCGGGAGGAAAGCAAGAGCAGCCGGCCCCCGCCCGACAGGGACACCAAGAAGGACAGCGACCAGACUCUGGACAGAGGAACAGAGGCGAGCACAGGGCCCUUGUUCCCCAGGAAGACUGGAAAAGGCAGGGUAGGGGCAGGGGGACGGCAGAAGCCAAAGGUAGCUGCUCCUGUGCUGAGCAAGCCUCAAGAAUCCCUCUUCACGCUCCAGAACACUCAGGCACAUGUCCUAGAAAACCCAAGAGCAACUGUUUUUCCUGCUGCAAGGAAAGCUGGACCCCCGCUUGGCUCUGGGCAAAGGGACGGCGCAAAAGUAAACAAGGCAAAGAACAGGAGAGAACAAAGAGCGAGGCUGGAAAUCCAUCUCAGCAGCAAAGACCAGAGAAGAUCAUCUCCACAUCCUUCAGGGGCCAAAUUCCAGGGCUGUUCUCUGAGGGGAGCUCCGGGGCUGGGCAGGUUCCCUCCUGGGGUGCUGUGGGGCAGGAUGUGCUCCCUCCUGAGGUGCUCCGGGGCAGGAUAUGCUCCCUCCUGGGGUGCUCCGGGGCUGGGCAUGCUCCAUCCUGGGAUGCUCCUGGGUCAAGAUGUGCUCCCUCCUGGGGUGCUUCUGGGGUGGCCCGCUUCCUCAAUGGGGUGCUCCUGGGGCAGGAUGUGCUCCCUCCUGGGGUGCUCCUGGGGCAGGAUGUGCUCCCUCCCUGGGUGUUCCGGGGUAGGACUUGCUCUCUCCUGGGGUGCUCUGGGGCUGGGCCCGCUCCCUCUUGGGGUGCUCCUGGGGCAUGUGCUCCCUCCUGA